rnacentral:rRNA from 1 species
UACGGGGGGGGCAAGCGUUGUUCGGAAUUACUGGGCGUAAAGGGCUCGUAGGCGGCCAACUAAGUCGGACGUGAAAUCCCCAGGCUCAACCUGGGAACUGCGUCCGAUACUGGAUGGCUUGAAUUCGGGAGAGGGAUGCAGAAUUCCAGGUGUAGCGGUGAAAUGCGUAGAUAUCUGGAGGAACAUCGGUGGCGAAGGCGGCAUCCUGGACCGGUAUUGACGCUGAGGCGCGAAAGCCAGGGGAGCAAACGGG